AAGUAGCCACGGUAACACGAAGGGUGCAAGCGUUACUCGGAAUUACUGGGCGUAAAGCGUGCGUAGGUGGUGGUUUAAGUCCGUUGUGAAAGCCCUGGGCUCAACCUGGGAAUUGCAGUGGAUACUGGGUCACUAGAGUGUGGUAGAGGAUAGUGGAAUUUCCGGUGUAGCAGUGAAAUGCGCAGAUAUCAGGAGGAACACCUAUGGCGAAGGCGGCUCACUGGACCGGCAUUGACGCUGAGGUGCGAAAGCGUGGGGAGCAAACAGGAUUAGAUACCCCUGUAGUCCCUGUCUCUUAUAC
rnacentral:rRNA from 1 species